ensembl:lncRNA
UAAAUAAUUAUUGUGUAGAAAUAAAAACAAUAAAAUAGCAGAAAUUACAGAAAGUAUAUAAAUGUAAACAUUUGAAAUCUAUCAUUACUUUUGCUAAUUAUUUUGGUCAUGUAGAAUUUACACACUUCAACAUUUAUGCGCAAGGGACUUCAAAAUGCCCUAAACUUAUUUGCACAAAAUAAAUAAAUAAAUAAAUAAAUAAAUAAAAUAAAAUAAAUAAUAAUUUGUUGAGUCAGAUGUUUUGGUGGCAUUCCCACUUGCUUACAACAAAUCAGUCAAGCAUGUAUAUUAAACAGAUCGGCAUCAGUGCAGAGCAACAUUUUGUUUUUAUUUUAUUUCAUCUACUUUUUCCAAUAUCAUCAUUUUUAAACAGCAAUAUCCACAAAAUAUUAACAGUGUGCAAGAAAACAUGAUUUAUGGCACAUCCGAGAAGAACAAUUACAAAAAAUAGAUAUAUUUCUUCAUAAUCAAGGCAGAAAGAUACAUAUGCAUACACAGGAAAAAACACAAAGUAAUGGAACAGGCUGAGAUUGAAAUCUACUGGCUAAGGACUCAGCUACAGAUAUUGCCCACACAAAGCCUAAAUCUCACCUCUCAUGGUCAUGAAAGAGCUUGAUGGUGUGUGAAGUCGAACAACGUUUGGGAACGAGGAAUUGAGGUUAAGGUAUCACGGCCUACUCAGCACCUUAAGUGUUCUCGCUGCACGCAACGCAAAUUAGAAACGGACAAGCUCCCUCGUCCUAACAGCAGGUCUCACAACUUAGAAAGAGUCUUAUUAAACCCAAGCGCAGGGGAGUUUUUUUUUUUUUAAGCAUACUUCAGGUAAACGCUAUACUUUGGAGCACAGUGUAUCCCAACACUGUUAGUCAAGAGGGUGGAGAACUCAAGCUAACAAGCUAACUUAGCUUAGCUGACUUUCACAGUGUUCGCUCCAGUGUAACACCAUCAAACGUGGUACAGCAAGUUUGGCUGGUGGCUGGUCAAAAACCUUUUGUAGUGCUAGAAUUAUUUUAGCACUAGCUUGGUGCAUUUGAGCACUUUGCACAUAUCAAGAAAGGCUUCAUCCUAAUGUGGACUACUAAGUGACUCAAGUGAGUUUGCAAUAAUAUCGUCAGUGAUGGAAAAGUCUAAGUUUCUAUUUUAACACUUGAAUUGAUUCCAUUAUAAUCCUUCAUCUUUAUAUAAUAUGGUUCUUUAUCUCCUUAAGUGUCUCUUUUUCUCCACUUACUUUGAAAUGCAUUAAGCCACUACACUGCUCUGCUCAGGCUUAACAGGAAGUGAUGUCGCUGAAGCAGCUCUGUCCACUGAUGGGCAGCAGCGUGAUUCUGUUGAUCACUGGAUGAGUCACAGCACUCGUGACCUCCACACGCCUUAGUCAUUCUUAUACGGGAGCUGAUGACAGCACCCAUUGGCCGUGAGGAGCACAGGCCCCCUCUGUCCCACUCUAAGCCCCUAUUUCCUGCACUUUGUUGUUAUUUUCCAGCAUUUGAAGCGGGACAAUGGGGGAAUUCUGUUUUAGCACUUAGCUGAAUAAUGUGAGUGACUGUUUGGGGAUCAUCACACACAAACAAAACGUCACUCCAAAAGAUUGUGCAUCAUGUGCUGGGUGCACAUUAGACAUUCAGAGUUGUGGGUUGACCUUGCCCCUCAUCUUUAGCAUGUGACUGCUCAGGCUGAGCCGAACCCUAUGGCCCGUUGCACAUCCUGCCCUUAGAUAGACUUAACAGCACAGACCACCUCAUGAAACGUGCUUCGAACAACGCCUUUAAGCACCUUGUGUAGGCAUUGUGUCAACAAUCCAUUCCACAUUUCCUGUUUACUAUCACAUGUACAAGCACUGGAGCCGUCCACAGAUUCCUUUCACUCACAUCUUUUGCCUAGACUUAAAGAGGACAAACUGAAUGGUUAAAUAUGAAUGAUGGAAGAAACGGAAAUAUUACACAAAGAUUACAAAAAGAUAAAACAUCCACAAAAAAAAAAAAUUAAUGCGCUUUAGUUAUCAAACACUGUACAGUAUCAUACUCAAUGACUAGAUUCCAUGUUUCCAUAGAAAGAAGAAAUUGGAACAAACAAAUCCAAACACCUAUUCUCAAAGUUAACACCUCUGAACAUAUCCAAAAGAAAGUUUAUACAUUUUUUUCCUUCUGUAUGGAUUUUACAAUCAAGUUUGGUUUUAGAGAAAAAAGAAAUAAAAUUGGCCUUAUCAGGGGCUCCGACUUCAAAAUGACUCAGUUUGAUGAGGCAUGUCCAAAUCAUUCAUAAAAUAUUCAUUAUUAUUUGAUAUAUUUGAUACUAAAUAUCACAUAUUAAUUUCAAAUUAAUAUCUCAAAUAAUAGGGCUCAUUUUUUAUACUGAACUGCACUUUAGGAGGGCACUGGGAAGGAUAUCAUUAGGUAAAUAUAUUUUCUGCAUUAUAUAAAAUUAUUCCUUUAUAACUUAGUGUUUGAGGAUUCUGAAAUAUAGUAUAAACACUAGGGAAAAAAACUAAGCAUUAAACCUAAUGAGUUUUUAUUGAUGAAAAGAAAAAAAAAUAGCUCACAAACUCACAAAAAUAUUGGCAACUCUGGUUAAUGUCUUGAAUCCCUUUGUAAAACAUGAAAUGUGCUGUUUUGAUAAUAAAUUUAAAUCUAGAAUGAACCUUUAGCUUGCAGAUUCGGGUUAAUACUGAACAAGCGUUUACCACAGUGUGACUGGGCUAGCCAGCUAGUCAGUCAGCAAAAUCAUGACUGUCUUCCUCUACUCUCCACCAUCACCUAUGGUAACAAGGUCAGCCGCUGCACUGAAAAACAUGCUGGAAUAUCUCUCAGUCUUUAUAUAAUCUUUUGAAAUAGUUUACAAUUUCGAAAUCUGCCACCUCCUGUUAAGUACAUCUAUAUGCAUGAAUUUAGACAGGCGUGCUGUGCAGAUUCAUUCAUAUAGAUUCACUCAACACCAGGCUACAUGACGCUAGGUAUUCAGAUAUUGCCCCUAUUUGUUUUUACCGAGAGAGUGUGGCAUUUAUUUUCUGGAGAAUACUGUGGAUCCCAGGUAAAAAGAAGUGUUGGACUGAAUUGCCCAUUGACUGGGGAUGGGCAGCGGUUAAAGAGGGAUUGGGAUAGCUGGCCUAGACAAAGUAGCUAUAGAAUGAUGCAAGGCUUCUUGUCUUUGAAAGGAUUCUCUGAGGUGGGAACCCCCACCAGAAGAGGGUCACUGCGGGCGUGCUGCUCACAGUAACUCAUGAGGUCUGCAGCAGCCUUAGACACCUGGGGAAAAG